rnacentral:SRP_RNA from 1 species
GCCGGGUGUGGUGGUGCAUGCCUGUAAUUCCAGCUACUCAGGAGGCUGAGGCAGGAGAAUCGCUUGAACCCAGGAGGUAGAGGUUGCAGUGAGCUGAGAUCAUGCCACUGCACUCCAGCCUGGGUGACAGAGUGAGACUCCGUCUCAA